GUCCACGCCGUAAACGAUGUCUACUAGUUGUCGGUUGUCUUGUACGACGGGUAACGCAGCUAACGCGAUAAGUAGACCGCCUGGGGAGUACGGCCGCAAGGUUAAAACUCAAAUGAAUUGACGGGGGCCCGCACAAGCGGUGGAGCAUGUGGUUUAAUUCGAAGCAACGCGAAGAACCUUACCUGGCCUUGACAUCCUGCGAACUUUCUAGAGAUAGAUAGGUGCCUUCGGGAACGCAGAGACAGGUGCUGCAUGGCU
rnacentral:rRNA from 1 species